GCCAGACUCCUACGGGAGGCAGCAGCGGGGAAUAUUGCACAAUGGGGGAAACCCUGAUGCAGCGACGCCGCGUGAGUGAAGAAGUAUUUCGGUAUGUAAAGCUCUAUCAGCAGGGAAGAAGAAGGACGGUACCUGAGUAAGAAGCCCCGGCUAACUACGUGCCAGCAGCCGCGGUAAUACGUAGGGGGCAAGCGUUAUCCGGAUUUACUGGGUGUAAAGGGAGCGUAGACGGCAGUGCAAGUCUGAAGUGAAAGCCCCGGGCUUAACCCGGGAACUGCUUUGGAAACUGUACGGCUGGAGUGCUGGAGAGGUAAGCGGAAUUCCUAGUGUAGCGGUGAAAUGCGUAGAUAUUAGGAGGAACACCAGUGGCGAAGGCGGCUUACUGGACAGUAACUGACGUUGAGGCUCGAAAGCGUGGGGAGCAAACAGGAUUAGAUACCCGAGUA
rnacentral:rRNA from 1 species